rnacentral:lncRNA from 1 species
GACACAGAGAAGACCACUCCCACCUCCCCGAGUGCAAGGUGUGAAGGGACAGAUCUUUUAACCAUGCCUGCCCCCUUAUACUUGCUGUUCAUAGAAUUGCAACUGAAAGUGACCAUGAGGAUCCACUGGAUGGAGUUACUUCUUUCUUAAGUGAGGAGGCUAAGACCUGGUAAAGUUAUGCAGUUUCCUCAAGGAGUGACUUCUCCCCAGAUUUUUGUAUACCUGACUCUGUUUCAGCAUCCGCUUCCCAAAGAAUGCAGUGUGAAGCAGGAGCUUAUGUGAGAAGAAACGCAGGGAGACAGUUCAGUCACUGCAAUCUUCAUGCCCAUCAGUUUCUUGUGAGAAGAAAACAAGAGCUCCAAUCUGUUAGAUGGUAUUUUGAAGCAGGUCUUUGGGUAAAGGACACCUAGACCCAGUGAAGGUCAUGGUGAUUAUUAUUGGACAAUGGGACAUCACUCUGCUAUUUGAACAAAUAAGACUUUUUCCUGACAUGCAUCUGGAGGCAGGUCAAAGCUCCAGGCCAACUCCAAGUUUCUGAUGGGGUCUCUAGCCAAUGGAAGGCUUCUUCUCCUUCAAUUGCCUGACUCUUCAGGACUCUUAAAUACUGCAGAAGUGAGAAAAUGAGACAGGUUGCACUGAGGGCUGUUAGCCAGACAGAGUCUCGAACUGGAAGUCCAUCUAGAUGUUUUGCAUAAGAGAAUGGAAACAAUCUGUCUGUGAUUUAGGGACAUACUCUGGCAGCAAUAUGGGAAUACAGUUUCAAUCCUCAUUAACAAAACAGGUAUGAAAUACAUAUUUAUUUAGUAAGGUGCCAGCUGUAUGAAAAAUCCAUUUCUUAUUUCCCAUAAUGUUUCUGAAAUGUCUUAGCAGUGCAUAGAGACAGCAUGUCAUCAUUUUCUAGGGACUGUGUGUUAUUGCAUUUUUCCUAGGGAAGAUCUUUUCUAGGUCACCUGCUCCUUCACUAAAGCUCUGACCAAUCUAGCUUGCUAACCUGUGACUCCAUUUUCCUAAGUCCUGAGAGAGAAAAACGCUUUGCAGCAAAUUAUGCCAGGCAUCCUUGUGUCUAAAUGAAAAAAGGAAAAAGCCUCCUUCCUUCCCUCUGUUGAGAAGUGCACGGUCCACAUAUGCAUGCACAGCAUAUACUGUGAGGGUAUUUGCAGUCCCUUGGGUUGCUUUGAUAACUGGCCAGGUUGCUGUUCUAUUUUUCCACAUUCUAUUAAUCCUCCUACAGGCAGUUAUUAGGUAUUGAGUGCUCACACACCCCUGGCAUAGUCACCACAUGCCAUUAGCUCCAGAUAAACUUCCAGAAAAAAGUCCAUCCCCCACUUCUCUCAGCUGCCUGCCAACGCUGGACACCUUCUCACCAAGCCAGCAGGACAGAGAAAAGCCUGGGCUUUAAGAUCAAACAAACACAGCUUCAAAUUAGGACUCUGUCACUUCCUGUGUACUGGGCACUUUGCUGAGUAUGUGGUUUCUCAUCUGUAAAACAGAGAAAGAUGAUUAUCUCCCAAUCUUUCUAUGUUAUAUGUUUGAAUUAAAUAAGGUACUCUCCAUGAA